AUGGAAGAUAGAAAUAAUGUUACUGAAUUUAUCCUCUUAGAACUUUCUAUGGACAAGAAAGUCCAGAUCCUCUGCUUUUUAUUUUUCUUAUUCUGUUACCUGGCUAUUUGGUUGGGGAAUUUGAUCAUUGUGAUUUCUAUUACAUGCAGUCAGCUAAUCACCCAGUCCAUGUACUUCUUCCUUAACUGCCUUGCACUCUCAGAUCUCUUCUACACCUCCACUGUGACACCCAAACUCAUGACUGACUUACUGAAGGAGAAAAAGGCCAUUUCCUAUAAAAACUGCAUGACACAGCUUUUCACCACCCACUUCUUUGGGGGGGGGGGGGUCUUCAUCCUCAUAGGGAUGGCCUGUGACUGCUAUGUGGCCAUCAGCAAACCUCUCCACGACGCCAUCACCAUGAACAGGCAAAAACGUCACUCAAUUCUCAUAGCGUCGUGUGCAGGGGGACUUCUUCAUUCUCUUGGUCUCUUUCUUCUUGCGAUUGUUUUACCUUCCUGUGGCCCCAGUGAAAUAGAUCACUAUUUCUGUGAUGCAUAUCUUUUGCUGAAACUAGCCUGCACUGAUACACACAAAAUUGGCUUUUUUGUCAUUGCCAAUUCUGGCUUGAUGGGACUGGUGCUCUUUGUGGUUUUGAUGGCCUCCUACAUUUUGAUUCUGUAUAAUGUGUGCACAUAUUCUGCAGAAAGCCACCAUAAAGCACUUUCCACCUGUAGUUCCCACAUCACAGUCCGUGAUCCUCUUUUUCACACCUGUCACCUUUGUUUACAUUAGACCUGCCACAACAUUACCAGAAGAUAAAACAAUUAUUGUCCCCAUGCUCAACCCGCUUAUCUACACACUUAGAAACAUGGAGAUGAAAAAUUCCAUAGGAAGAGUUUGGUGCAAUAAA
rnacentral:lncRNA from 1 species